rnacentral:rRNA from 1 species
GACGAACGCUGGCGGCGUGCCUAAUACAUGCAAGUGGAACGCAUGAUUGAUACCGGAGCUUGCUCCACCAUUAAUCAUGAGUCGCGAACGGGUGAGUAACGCGUAGGUAACCUACCUCAUAGCGGGGGAUAACUAUUGGAAACGAUAGCUAAUACCGCAUAACAGUAUUUAUCGCAUGGUAAAUGCUUGAAAGGAGCAAAUGCUUCACUAUGAGAUGGACCUGCGUUGUAUUAGCUAGUUGGUGGGGUAACGGCUCACCAAGGCAUCGAUACAUAGCCGACCUGAGAGGGUGAUCGGCCACACUGGGACUGAGACACGGCCCAGACUCCUACGGGAGGCAGCAGUAGGGAAUCUUCGGCAAUGGGGGGAACCCUGACCGAGCAACGCCGCGUGAGUGAAGAAGGUUUUCGGAUCGUAAAGCUCUGUUGUAAGAGAAGAACGUGUGUGAGAGUGGAAAAUUCACACAGUGACGGUAACUUACCAGAAAGGGACGGCUAACUACGUGCCAGCAGCCGCGGUAAUACGUAGGUCCCGAGCGUUGUCCGGAUUUAUUGGGCGUAAAGCGAGCGCAGGCGGUUUGAUAAGUCUGAAGUAAAAGGCUGUGGCUUAACCAUAGUAUGCUUUGGAAACUGUCAAACUUGAGUGCAGAAGGGGAGAGUGGAAUUC